GGAAUGCACAUGAGCAUAUACCAAACUAAAGGAACUCAGGCUCCAUAAGCCCUAAAUUAUUCCUUGUUGCAUUGGCCUGACCACUUGUUUAGUUGGGCUGUCACAUUAUAAAUUAAUAUGUUUGCUGUUUGGGGCUGAGAACUCUUUUUUUCCUGUUUGUUCAGUAAAACAGAUCCUGUACACCCUGGGCACUAUAUAAAAAUAAUAAAUUAUUGUAGAACACAGAUUUUACUCUAAUAUGUAUUACUCCAAUAUUCCAACCAUGCCACCUGCUACAAAAGUUCAAGCACAGAGGAUUUACUAAAGUGAAGGAGAGGGAAUCAGCAAAAACUCCAGAGGAGAAGAAGAAACAAGUAACAAGAUCACACUGACCACGGGAUGGUUGAGGAGGCAAACCAGAGGAGAGCUCUGCUCGGGAGAGAUCAAAGG
rnacentral:lncRNA from 1 species